GUUGAUGAUGAUUACAGAUCUACAAGGGUGGCUAUUUAUAGCCCCGUACAAACGACUUCUUAUCCGACUAGAACUCUAUCCCUAAAUUUAAACAGAAAACGAAUAUUUACAAGUACGAUUCGUACUAUUUUCACGCGCUUCAUGGGCUGAUCCUUCUUCAUCUUCAUAAUCCUCUUUAAGCCCACACCGGCCCAACUAUUCCAACCUCCC
rnacentral:lncRNA from 1 species